rnacentral:rRNA from 1 species
GACGAACGCUGGCGGCGUGCCUAAUACAUGCAAGUUGAGCGCUGAAGGUUGGUACUUGUACCGACUGGAUGAGCAGCGAACGGGUGAGUAACGCGUGGGGAAUCUGCCUUUGAGCGGGGGACAACAUUUGGAAACGAAUGCUAAUACCGCAUAAAAACUUUAAACACAAGCUUUAAGUUUGAAAGAUGCAAUUGCAUCACUCAAAGAUGAUCCCGCGUUGUAUUAGCUAGUUGGUGAGGUAAAGGCUCACCAAGGCGAUGAUACAUAGCCGACCUGAGAGGGUGAUCGGCCACAUUGGGACUGAGACACGGCCCAAACUCCUACGGGAGGCAGCAGUAGGGAAUCUUCGGCAAUGGACGAAAGUCUGACCGAGCAACGCCGCGUGAGUGAAGAAGGUUUUCGGAUCGUAAAACUCUGUUGGUAGAGAAGAACGUUGGUGAGAGUGGAAAGCUCAUCAAGUGACGGUAACUACCCAGAAAGGGACGGCUAACUACGUG